rnacentral:rRNA from 1 species
UACGUAGGGCGCAAGCGUUGUCCGGAAUUAUUGGGCGUAAAGAGCUCGUAGGCGGUUUGCUGCGUCCGCUGUGAAAACCCAAGGCUUAACCUUGGGCUUGCAGUGGAUACGGGCAGACUAGAGGUAGGUAGGGGAGAAUGGAAUUCCCGGUGUAGCGGUGAAAUGCGCAGAUAUCGGGAGGAACACCGGUGGCGAAGGCGGUUCUCUGGGCCGUAACUGACGCUGAGGAGCGAAAGCGUGGGGAGCGAACAGG